AAAAAAAAAACAAUCAUAAAUACUGAUACUCGUACACAUACUAUUGUGAAGUUUUCGUUGGUUGACAUUAUCGCUUGUAUUCGUCUGAAAGUAUAGCAUUAUCAAAUUUUCACUGUUUUUAAUAAAAUUACGCAAAGUAACGCCUGCUUGUAUUCAAUAAUUACAGAUACUUAUCGGUAGAAUGGAUUGUGGUGCCAUUUUAUUGGGUGCCAUAUUUGAUCGCGUCACUGGCUACAUCACACGCAUUCGACGUUUGGAGGAGUAAAAAGACAACCAUCAGUCGGUCUAUUCGCGCAGUGCAAGCUAUGUCCGCCACUCGACUGCUGAUGUCGUCAGCGCUGCUAAUUCUCUGCUGUGUGCCGAGUUUGACCAACGUGCGGUACAUAGUGGCGGCGCCUCUGCUAGUGAUGUCUGCCGCUAGUGUUGUCACCAUGAGUGCUGUGCGUUAUGGAAGGUUGAAAGCGUUGCAACACCUCAUACUUGAAGUCCUUUGAACGCCCC
rnacentral:lncRNA from 1 species